CAGUAGUGGAAUUGAAUUUUUCUUUUUUUUUUAAUGGACACAGGGAAACUAGGGAGCAUCUACUAUUCAGUUUGGUGUAACAUGGAUCACACUUGAACAAAUCUUAUGUUUGUGACUUCCCCCUCCUGUACCAAAGAUUACUAUUAACUGUUUUAAAAUGAAAAAAAAAAUUCUUCCCUUAAAUAUUUAAAAGAAAAAUAUAUAUUCAUGUAAUUAUUGUUUUUAUUUAAAUUCCAAUUAUUUGACAUAGAAUUUAAUAUUAGUUUCAAGUAUAUGAUAUAGUGAUUCAACACUUCCAUAAAACACCCAGUGCUCAAAAAAAACCCAAACAAACAAAAAAACACCCAGUGCUCCUCCCAGCAAGCACACUCCUUAAUCCUUAUACCUGUGAUAACUGUUAGUUUGUUUUCAAGACUUGAGUCUGUCUUUUGUCUUGUCUCCUCUGUCUUUUUUUUUCCCUAUGUCACAUAUAGGGAAAAUUUGUUUCUUAAAUUCCACAUAUGAGUGAAAUCAUAUGGUAUUUGUCUUACUCUGACAUAUUUCACUUAGCAUAAUACUCUUUAACUACAUCUACGUGGUUGCAAAUGACAAGAUUUCAUUCUUUUUAAUAAUAUUAAAUAUUAUUAAAUAUUUAGUAAUAUUUGUGUGUGUGUGUGUACACAUGUGUAUAUCACAUCUUCUUUAUCCAUUCAUCAGGCCAUGGACACUUGGGCUGUUUCCAUAAUUUGGCUAUUGUAGAUAAUGCUGCUAUAAACAUCAGGGUGCAUGUAUCCCUUUGAUUUAGUACUUUUAUAAAUGUAAUUAUUUUAAGCAGAAACAAAUAUGUAAUUCUAGAAGUCAAAUUAAAUAACAUCUACAAACACAUAGAUACAUGUACACUCAUUUAACUCUGUUUAUUUUACCAGUAAUCACAAACUAAACCCAAAUUUUAGCUUUAUGACAAUUAAGAAACCAUUUUAAUUACAGUCAAAAUCUUCAAAACUAAUAAAAACUGUUACUGAGAUAAUUUAAUGGAAUGUUUUUAAAGUUUCACAAUUUAGAGAAAUAGUCUUUAGGUAUUGUUAAUACUUUACUGAAUAAUACUAUACUGAUACUGAUAAUAUACUAUACUGAAUAUACUAUAAAAACAAGAUCUACACGUUUAAGAUCAUAUAAUGUUACGGUAUGAAAAGACAUUGAAAAAAAGAAUACUUUGAAAGAUAAUAAAGCAAUGUGAGAAUGACAAAUUAGGCUCCAUUAUGUAUAUAAUCUAGGUCCAACAUUGCAUUGAGAUACUAAAUUUUCAGUUCUAUUAAAUUUUGACAAAUUAAAUUAAGACUUCUUGCACCUCACACAUUUCUGAAAUUAAUGAUAAGUUAGAACCUUGAUACAUUUUCAAAAAAAAUUUAUGAUGCAAAUUGCAUAUCCUGAUAAUCCUUUUACUUCAUAAUUCAGGUAUUCAUAGAUUUAGCCAUCAUGGACCAUAUUUUAAAUAAGUAUCACAAUAAUUUUAUACAGGUACUUUAUCUCUUAUCUCUCUUUAUCCUUUAGGGUUUUUUUUUUAAGAUUUAUUUAUUUAUUUAUUCUUGAUAGACAGAGAGAGAAAGAGAGAGAGAGAGAGAGAGGCAGAGACACAGGCAGAGGGAGAAGCAGGCUACAUGCACCGGGAGCCCGACGUGGGACUCGAUCCCGGGACUCAGGACCGGGCCUCGGGCCAAAGGCAGGUGCCAAACCGCUGAGCCACCCAGGGAUCCCCUCCUUUAGUUUUUUUUAGACAAAUGGUUAAAUUAUACAUAUCAGCUGUUUUCAAAUUGAUUACACAAUUACUCAAAAUAAUAUGGUCUCUCCAAGUUUAAAUUGCAGAAAGAAUCUUGACAAGUGGGCAUAGUCUUUUUGAGAAUGGUCUUUUUUGAGACUGGCUAUGGUAUUCUAUUCUGAUUGUGCUCACUGAAUGCAGAGUUUAUCCAAAUGGGAUGUGUGUAAAUCAAGAACAGUUUCCUUUUGGCAUUAUCAUUUGAGACAAGUAGAAUCCUCAUUGUGUGUCUGAUGUAAAAUGUAGAAGCAUAGUUUAAUUAAA
rnacentral:lncRNA from 1 species